GACAUAGGUGGCAAACGUUAUCCGGAAUUAUUGGGCGUAAAGGGCGCGUAGGCGGCUAGAUGUGUCAAAGGUGAAAUCCCUCGGCUCAACUGAGGAACUGCCUUUGAAACUGUCUGGCUUGAGGCCGGGAGAGGGUAGCGGAAUUCCCAGUGUAGCGGUGAAAUGCGUAGAUAUUGGGAGGAACACCAGUGGCGAAGGCGGCUACCUGGACCGGUUCUGACGCUGAGGCGCGAAAGCGUGGGUAGCAAACAGG
rnacentral:rRNA from 1 species